rnacentral:rRNA from 1 species
GGCGGCGUGCCUAACACAUGCAAGUACGAACGAAGCAUAUACGGCAGAACUUUCGGAGUGAAGCGGUUAUGACUUAGUGGCGGACGGGUGAGUAACGCGUGGGCAACCUGCCCUUAACCGGGGGACAACAGUUGGAAACGGCUGCUAAUACCGCAUAAGACCACGGAGCUGCAUGGCUCAGGGGUCAAAGGAGGAAUCCGGUGAAGGGUGGGCUCGCGUCCGAUUAGAUAGUAGGUGAGGUAACGGCCCACCUAGUCAACGAUCGGUAGCCGACCUGAGAGGGUGAUCGGCCACAUUGGGACUGAGACACGGCCCAAACUCCUACGGGAGGCAGCAGUGGGGAAUAUUGGGCAAUGGGGGGAAAAACCCCCUGACCCAGCAACGCCGCGUGAGGGAAGAAGGUUUUCGGAUCGUAAACCUCUGUCCUUGGUGAAGAGGAAGAGACGGUAGCCAAGGAGGAAGCCCCGGCUAACUACGUGCCAGCAGCCGC